GAUCCUGGCUCAGGAUGAACGCUGGCGGCGUGCUUAACACAUGCAAGUCGAACGGGAAAUACUUUAUUGAAACUUCGGUCGAUUUAAUUUAUUUCUAGUGGCGGACGGGUGAGUAACGCGUGGGUAACCUGCCUUAUACUGGGGGAUAACAGCCAGAAAUGGCUGCUAAUACCGCAUAAGCGCACAGAACCGCAUGGUUCCGUGUGAAAAACUCCGGUGGUAUAAGAUGGACCCGCGUUGGAUUAGCUGGUUGG
rnacentral:rRNA from 1 species